UACGUAGGUUGCAAGCGUUGUCCGGAAUUACUGGGUGUAAAGGGCGUGUAGGCGGAGCUGCAAGUCAGAUGUGAAAUCCCGGGGCUCAACCCCGGAACUGCAUUUGAAACUGUAGCCCUUGAGUAUCGGAGAGGCAAGCGGAAUUCCUAGUGUAGCGGUGAAAUGCGUAGAUAUUAGGAGGAACACCAGUGGCGAAGGCGGCUUGCUGGACGACAACUGACGCUGAGGCGCGAAAGCGUGGGGAGCAAACAGG
rnacentral:rRNA from 1 species